CCCACGGGGUGCUGCAGUGGGGAAUAUUGGACAAUGGGCGAAAGCCUGAUCCAGCCAUGCCGCGUGUGUGAAGAAGGCCUUCGGGUUGUAAAGCACUUUCAGUGGGGAAGAAAGCCUUGGGGCUAAUACCCUCGAGGAAGGACAUCACCCACAGAAGAAGCACCGGCUAACUCCGUGCCAGCAGCCGCGGUAAUACGGAGGGUGCGAGCGUUAAUCGGAAUUACUGGGCGUAAAGCGCGCGUAGGCGGUCUGAUAAGCCGGUUGUGAAAGCCCCGGGCUCAACCUGGGAACGGCAUCCGGAACUGUCAGGCUAGAGUGCAGGAGAGGAAGGUAGAAUUCCCGGUGUAGCGGUGAAAUGCGUAGAGAUCGGGAGGAAUACCAGUGGCGAAGGCGGCCUUCUGGACUGACACUGACGCUGAGGUGCGAAAGCGUGGGUAGCAAACAGGAUUAGAUACCCGAGUAGUC
rnacentral:rRNA from 1 species